AUUCAUUGAAGUCUCCAACAGAAGGCUAGCCACAGACACACCAUUGUCAGAUAACGUCUGCCUCCAGAAGUAGAUGCAAGAUGGGAAUGUAGCCCAGCUUAGGAUUCAAAGAUGUCUUCUCCAUCAACAGUGUCGCUGCAGACACACCAUUGUCAGAUGAAGUCUACCUCUCCAGAAGUAGAUGCAAGAUUGGAGUGCAGCCCGGCUUAGGAUCAGAUGAUGUCGUCUCCUUUAACAGGCUAGCUAUAGAAGCCAAUUGUCAGAUGAAGUCUACUUCUCAAGAAGUAUGAUGCACGAUGGGAAUACAGCCCAACUUCAAGAUUCAAUGAUGUCUUCUCCAUCAACAGUGUUCAGUAACUUGUGAUGUUGGUAUCAAAGUCCGAACCAUUACAUGGUUGAGACAUCAACCUGAUGGCAGCUCACCAUUGGUGGAGUUUAGACUGUGUCCUCAAUCAAGUCAACCAUCACAUACAGAGUUCUGCCAACAAAAGCCAUGUACAGGCUAGCUACAAUCAUACCAUUGCCAGAUGAAGAAGUCUACCUCACCAGAAGUAGAUGCAUGAUGGGAAUGCAGCCCAGCUUAGGAUUCAACGAUGUCUUCUUCAACAGAAGGCUAGCUACAGAAACGUCAUUGUCAGAUGAAGUCUGCCUCUCCAGAAGUAGAUGCAUGAUGGGAAUAUAACCCAGCUGCAAGAUUCCAAUGAUGUCUUCUCCAUCAACAGCCUAGCCGCAGACACACCAUUGUCAGACGAAGUCUACCUCUCCAGAAGUAGAUGCAAGAUUGGAAUGCAGCCCAGCUCAGGAUUCAAUGAUGUUUUCUCCAACCCAAGAAAGGGUUGUCAUCUCCACAAAGAUUUACUCAUCAACCAAGAAGAUGUCUGAGACCUGCAGUUGAUGAUCUUCCUAACAGCGUACAAUGAUCCUGGAAAAGGAACUGCUCUCUCCUUUAUAAAGGAUGGUGUCUACCUGUCACCUAGAAGAUUUCCGAGACCUGCAACUGCGUAUAGUCAGCCCACUGUCUACACAUCACCAGUUAAGAUGUGUGAGGGUUACGCAAGAGGAAGGUAAAAUACCUGUGGUUGUUUUACACUAACAUCAAAGGGUGGUCUGUUUUUGCAGCACUCAUACCAACAGAAUAUCUCGUCACAUACCACAACAUUUUUGGGGAUGAAUGCUGGCAUCAGCCUAACCCGAAAUGCGAGGUCUGUCCCUACAGAUUGAUUACAGAUUUAAAAGAUAGGAAACAUGUUUUUGAUUAACAAAACCCCUUUAACUGUACAGAAAUACAAUUUUAAAUAAUUAAAAAGCUUUUUAGUAUGAACCAUUGAUAUGUUUACUUGAGUUAAAUCAUAACUAGGAAUGAAAUUAUUUUGCAUUGUAUGAUGAUAAGUAAAAGAUCUGGAAUGUGCUGAACACCAUGCCUGACCUAAAACAAAUUUACACAAAUUUAGUUCAGGCAAAUCAGAUCCAAUUUGUUUAAGGUACACUUUGGCAAAAUUGAUUUGAAGAUUUAAAUGUUGUAUUAAUUGAAUCAUCAUUAAAGGCAGUGGACACUA